GUCAGACCACUUCCCUAUUCAUGCAGUUCGAGCGAACAGAAGGGGAGCUUGCUCCCGGAUGUUAGCGGCGGACGGGUGAGUAACACGUGGGUAACCUGCCUGUAAGACUGGGAUAACUCCGGGAAACCGGAGCUAAUACCGGAUAGUUCCUUGAACCGCAUGGUUCAAGGAUGAAAGACGGUUUCGGCUGUCACUUACAGAUGGACCCGCGGCGCAUUAGCUAGUUGGUGGGGUAAUGGCUCACCAAGGCGACGAUGCGUAGCCGACCUGAGAGGGUGAUCGGCCACACUGGGACUGAGACACGGCCCAGACUCCUACGGGAGGCAGCAGUAGGGAAUCUUCCGCAAUGGACGAAAGUCUGACGGAGCAACGCCGCGUGAGUGAUGAAGGUUUUCGGAUCGUAAAGCUCUGUUGUUAGGGAAGAACAAGUGCGAGAGUAACUGCUCGCACCUUGACGGUACCUAACCAGAAAGCCACGGCUAACUACGUGCCAGCAGCCGCGGUAAUACGUAGGUGGCAAGCGUUGUCCGGAAUUAUUGGGCGUAAAGGGCUCGCAGGCGGUUUCUUAAGUCUGAUGUGAAAGCCCCCGGCUCAACCGGGGAGGGUCAUUGGAAACUGGGAAACUUGAGUGCAGAAGAGGAGAGUGGAAUUCCACGUGUAGCGGUGAAAUGCGUAGAGAUGUGGAGGAACACCAGUGGCGAAGGCGACUCUCUGGUCUGUAACUGACGCUGAGGAGCGAAAGCGUGGGGAGCGAACAGGAUUAGAUACCCUGGUAGUCCACGCCGUAAACGAUGAGUGCUAAGUGUUAGGGGGAUUUCCGCCCCCUUAUUGCUGGCACCUAACGCAUUUAAGCACUCCGACCUGGGGGAGUACGGUCCGCAAGUACUGAAAACUCGAG
rnacentral:rRNA from 1 species